AUUCAUAGAGUGUAAAGGCAUAAGGGAGCUUGACUGCGAGACCUACAAGUCGAGCAGGGUCGAAAGACGGACUUAGUGAUCCGGUGGUUCCGCAUGGAAGGGCCAUCGCUCAACGGAUAAAAGCUACCCCGGGGAUAACAGGCUUAUCUCCCCCAAGAGUUCACAUCGACGGGGAGGUUUGGCACCUCGAUGUCGGCUCAUCGCAUCCUGGGGCUGUAGUCGGUCCCAAGGGUUGGGCUGUUCGCCCAUUAAAGCGGUACGCGAGCUGGGUUCAGAACGUCGUGAGACAGUUCGGUCCCUAUCCGUCGUGGGCGUAGGAAAUUUGAGAGGAGCUGUCCUUAGUACGAGAGGACCGGGAUGGACAUACCUCUGGUGUACCAGUUGUCGUGCCAACGGCAUAGCUGGGUAGCUAUGUGUGGACGGGAUAAGUGCUGAAAGCAUCUAAGCAUGAAGCCCCCCUCAAGAUGAGAUUUCCCAACUUCGGUUAUAAGAUCCCUCAAAGAUGAUGAGGUUAAUAGGUUCGAGGUGGAAGCAUGGUGACAUGUGGAGCUGACGAAUACUAAUCGAUCGAAGACUUAAUCAAAA
rnacentral:rRNA from 1 species